AUCCAAAACAGUAGCUGAAGGGUCUUU
rnacentral:piRNA from 1 species